rnacentral:rRNA from 1 species
GUAGGUGGCAAGCGUUGUCCGGGAAUUAUUGGGGCGUAAAGCGCGCGCAGGCGGUUCUUUAAGUCUGAUGUGAAAGCCCACGGGCUCAACCGUGGAGGGUCAUUGGAAACUGGAGAACUUGAGUACAGAAGAGGAAAGCGGAAUUCCACGUGUAGCGGUGAAAUGCGUAGAGAUGUGGAGGAACACCAGUGGCGAAGGCGGCUUUCUGGUCUGUAACUGACGCUGAGGCGCGAAAGCGUGGGGAGCAAACAGGAUUAGAUACCCUGGUAGUCCACGCCGUAAACGAUGAGUGCUAAGUGUUAGGGGGUUUCCGCCCCUUAGUGCUGCGGCUAACGCAUUAAGCACUCCGCCUGGGGAGUACGGCCGCAAAGGCUGA